rnacentral:lncRNA from 1 species
GGCACUGGAAGGGUUUUCAAAGUGAGUCUAAAGUAAUUAGGAGCUCCUGCUGAUGGAUUGCACUGGAGAGACAUGUGGAUUAUUUAUUACAAAGUCACUUGCUGGAAAGGUUAGAGGCUGAGAAGUAAUUAUUUUUUCCUUUUCUUCUUCUUCUUCUCUCUCUCUUUUUUUUUUUUUUAAUGGAGGAAUCAUCAGGGGAGAGCAGCCAGAGUUCCUCCAUGAAAUAUUCCCUCCUGCCUAAGUCCACUUCUCCCAAAAUGGCAAAUAGGACAGGGCCCCCAGGGAGGACAUGAGGAGCUCCGGAGCUCCCGGAACUGGAAUUUUGCUUUGUGUUGAAGUCUCUGCCCACACCCACCCUGGUUAAGGGAUGUGGAGGGGAUCCCUGCUUUUCAACCCAAACAUUUGGAAUCUCUGGAAGCUUCCCAUCUACCAGCCAAGCUCACAAAGCCUGUGCCACGUCUGGCACAUGUCUGGUAGAUGCUGAGCAGUAUUUGGAAGGCUCAGUGCUUCCAGCAACCUCAGCUCCCUGGUGCUCUCCUGCCAGGUUGGGAUCUCCCCUCCCACCAGCUUGGUGGCAUGGGCACCUCUGCAGAGAUGUGUGUGUUCCUGGAAAUAAUGGAUUCAGGUAGGAACGUCACUGGAAGAUGUUCAGAAACACUUGUCAUUAUGGAGUGAAUUUUGACAAAUAGUCCUUUCCUGGAAAAAAAAAAAAAAAAAGAUGUUGGGGAGAAAUAAUAGAAAUAUUUUUGUUACUUUCUUAUUUAUUUUACAUUAGUUAUCUCUUCCUGGAAACAUGCUUAUCCCUCCAUCUCAAAGUGCCAGCCCUGUGGCCCUGAUGGAACACUGAGACUCCAGAGGCAUCCAGCAGACACUUUGUAGCACAAUGCAAUGACCUCUAUCAAUAUUCAGUGCAUCAGCUCUUAGUGAUAUUUGUUUAUCCAUCCGGGUGCCAAUCUGAAAUCAGAGCAGGAUCAGAAAGAUGCUCAAUGAUAGAUUACUUCCACAUCAGAGCUGCUGAGGCCUCUGCCUGGCUAGGUGGGAUCCUGCAGGGCUACAUUUGUGCACAUUUGGGAUAUUCUCAGAGCUGCAAGGACAGGGAGCAAAUCCUGACAUCCCUCUGCACUGAGGCACUCUGACAGCCUAGAACUAGCUAUUCUCUUUUGAUGCCAUUCUCCUCAAAGUGGUGACUUCUGAAUACCGUAGUAUGGUAAACCAGAUUACUUUGAGGAUGAAAUUACUUCCAUGAUGUUGGGCUUAUACAGGAACCAUCUUGACAAGCUAUUCUAUAUUGGUAGCACUGGCAGAUGGACGUCAUCCUGCUCGUGAAUAUUCAGCUAUAGAUGUACCUUUCCUGAGUGCGGUGAUGGAGCUGGUAGGAAUAACUGGAUGUGACACAUGGUUGAUAAUGCACAGAUGGCAUUUAACAAGUAAAUGAGUGAGCUGAUGGGCUUCACCAGAGCCUUCUGACAAGGUAAAGAUGGAGUCUGCAUAGCCCUGGAGACUGUAUAACCUGCAGGCACUUCACAAAGGUCUCCCACUGUACUG